UACGUAGGGUGCGAGCGUUAAUCGGAAUUACUGGGCGUAAAGCGCACGUAGGUGGCGACGCAAGUCGGGUGUGAAAGCCCCGGGCUCAACCUGGGAAUUGCAUUCGAGACUGCAUUGCUGGAGUACGGAAGAGGAGGGCGGAAUUCCCGGUGUAGCGGUGAAAUGCGUAGAUAUCGGGAGGAACAUCAGUGGCGAAGGCGGCCCUCUGGUCCAGUACUGACACUCAAGUGCGAAAGCGUGGGGAGCAAACAGG
rnacentral:rRNA from 1 species